rnacentral:rRNA from 1 species
UACGUAGGGUGCAAGCGUUAAUCGGAAUUACUGGGCGUAAAGCGUGCGCAGGCGGUUCUAUAAGACAGAUGUGAAAUCCCCGGGCUCAACCUGGGAACUGCAUUUGUGACUGUAGAGCUGGAGUGCGGCAGAGGGGGAUGGAAUUCCGCGUGUAGCAGUGAAAUGCGUAGAUAUGCGGAGGAACACCGAUGGCGAAGGCAAUCCCCCUGGGGCCUGCACUGACGCUCAUGCACAAAGCGUGGGGGAGCAAACAGG